rnacentral:rRNA from 1 species
AUACGGAGGAUCCGAGCGUUAUCCGGAUUUAUUGGGUUUAAAGGGAGCGUAGGUGGACAGUUAAGUCAGUUGUGAAAGUUUGCGGCUCAACCGUAAAAUUGCAGUUGAUACUGGCUGUCUUGAGUACAGUAGAGGGGGGCGGAAUUCGUGGGGUAGGGGUGGAAUGCUUAGAUAUCACGAAGAACUACGAUUGCGAAGGCAGCUCACUGGACUGCAACUGACACUGAUGCUCGAAAGUGUGGGUAUCAAACAGGAUUAGAUACCCUGGUAGUCCACACAGUAAACGAUGAAUACUCGCUGUUUGCGAUAUACAGUAAGCGGCCAAGCGAAAGCAUUAAGUAUUCCACCUGGGGAGUACGCCGGCAACGGUGAAACUCAAAGGAAUUGACGGGG